AGACCCGAAACCCGGUGAUCUAGCCAUGGGCAGGUUGAAGGUUGGGUAACACUAACUGGAGGACCGAACCGACUAAUGUUGAAAAAUUAGCGGAUGACCUGUGGCUGGGGGUGAAAGGCCAAUCAAACCGGGAGAUAGCUGGUUCUCCCCGAAAGCUAUUUAGGUAGCGCCUCGUGAAUUCAUCUCCGGGGGUAGAGCACUGUUUCGGCUAGGGGGCCAUCCCGGCUUACCAACCCGAUGCAAACUGCGAAUACCGGAGAAUGUUAUCACGGGAGACACACGGCGGGUGCUAACGUCCGUCGUGAAGAGGGAAACAACCCAGACCGCCAGCUAAGGUCCCAAAGUCAUGGUUAAGUGGGAAACGAUGUGGGAAGGCCCAGACAGCCAGGAUGUUGGCUUAGAAGCAGCCAUCAUUUAAAGAAAGCGUAAUAGCUCACUGGUCGAGUCGGCCUGCGCGGAAGAUGUAACGGGGCUAAACCAUGCACCGAAGCUGCGGCAGCGACGCUGAUGCGUUGUUGGGUAGGGGAGCGUUCUGUAAGCCUGCGAAGGUGGCCUGUGAGGGUUGCUGGAGGUAUCAGAAGUGCGAAUGCUGACAUAAGUAACGAUAAAGCGGGUGAAAAGCCCGCUCGCCGGAAGACCAAGGGUUCCUGUCCAACGUUAAUCGGGGCAGGGUGAGUCGACCCCUAAGGCGAGGCCGAAAGGCGUAGUCGAUGGGAAACGGGUUAAUAUUCCCGUACUUGGUGUUACUGCGAAGGGGGGACGGAGAAGGCUAUGUUGGCCGGGCGACGGUUGUCCCGGUUUAAGCGUGUAGGUGUGUGUUCCAGGUAAAUCCGGUUCACUUUAACACUGAGGCGUGAUGACGAGGC
rnacentral:rRNA from 1 species